AAAACAACUACGGAGGGAGCUAGCGUUGUUCGGAAUCACUGGGCGUAAAGCGCACGUAGGCGGCUUUGUAAGUUAGAGGUGAAAGCCCGGGGCUCAACUCCGGAACUGCCUUUAAGACUGCAUCGCUUGAAUCUGGGAGAGGUAAGUGGAAUUCCGAGUGUAGAGGUGAAAUUCGUAGAUAUUCGGAGGAACACCAGUGGCGAAGGCGGCUCACUGGCUCGAUACUGACGCUGAGGUGCGAAAGUGUGGGGAGCAAACAGG
rnacentral:rRNA from 1 species